GGAUUAGGCAUGCAAGUCGAACGGUAGAGUGCUUUCGGGCACUUGAGAGUGGCGAACGGGUGAGUAACACGUAGGUGAUCUACCCUCAAAUCGGGGACAACCCAGGGAAACUUGGGCUAAUACCGGAUGAGUGCGGUAACGCAUAAAAGGUGGCGUAAGCUGCCGUUUGGGGAUGAGCCUGCGCCCUAUUAGUUAGUUGGUGAGGUAAUGGCUCACCAAGGCGAUGAUAGGUAGGCGGCCUUAACGGGUGGUCGCCCACACUGGGAUUGAGAUACGGCCCAGACUCCUACGGGAGGCAGCAGUCGAGAAUAGUCUACAAUGGACGAAAGUCUGAUAGUGCGACGCCGCGUGAACGAAGAAGCCCUUCGGGGUGUAAAGUUCUUUUAUAUGUGAGCAAUGCUUCUUAGGUGAAUAGUCUGAGGAGAGAGAUAUUAGCAUAUGAAUAAGCAACGGCUAACUCCGUGCCAGCAGCCGCGGUAAUA
rnacentral:rRNA from 1 species